rnacentral:rRNA from 1 species
ACUUUCAACAACAGAUCUCUUGGUUCUGGCAUCAAUGAAGAAUGCAGCAAAAUGUGAUAAGUAAUGUGAAUUGCAGAAUUCCAUGAAUCAUUGAAUCUUUAAACACACAUUGCACCCUCUGGUAUUCUGAAGGGCAUGCCUGUUUGAGUGUCAUUGCAAACCCUUCAAGCAUGACUUGUGUGUUGAGCCAAUGUCCCCACUUGUGUGGAUGGGCCUGAAAUGCAGUGGCAGCACCAAGUUCCUGAUGUCUGAGUGUAUGGGAAAUCACUUCAUUACUCAAAGACCUGAUCAGGGCCAAUCUCUUUUUUUUAUUUUAUCUGGUUUGACCUUGAAUCAGGUAGGAGUACCCACUGAACUUAAGCAUAUCAAUAAGUGAAGAAAAAGAAACCAACAGGAAUUGCCUCAGUAACAGUGAGUGAAGCAGCAAAAGCUCAAAUUUGAAAUCUGGCUCCAUGUGGAGCCCAAGUUGUAAUUUGGAGAGGACACUUCAGGUGCAGCCACAGCAUAAGUUCCUUGAAACAGAAUGUUAUAGAGGGUGAGAAUCCUGUCUUUGGCUGCUGGACCAUGCCCAUGUGAAGUUCCUUUAAUGAGUCAAGUUGUUUGGGAAUGCAGCUCUAAGUAGGUGGUAAAUUUCAUCUAAAGCUAAAUAUUGGCUGGAGACUGAUAGUGCACAAGUAGAGUGAUUGAAAGGUUAAAAGCACCUUGAAAAGGGAGUUAAAUAGCAUGUGAAAUUGUUGAAAGAGAAGUGCUUGCAACCAGACUUGAUUAUGGAGGCUCAGCAGGCAUGUGUGCCUGUGUACUCCCCCAUGCUCUGGGCCAGCAUCAGUUCUGGUGGUUGAUUAAAGGCCUCUGGAAAGUAUCAUCCUCCAGAACAUCUUACAGCCAGGGGCGCAAUGUGGCCAGCUGGGACUGAGGAACGCGCUUUGGCAUGGAUGCUGGCAUAAUGGUUGUAAGUGGCCUGUCUUGAAACAUGGACCAAGAAGUCUAACAUCUAUGUGAGUGUUUGGGUGUCAAACCUGUGCAUGCAGUGAAAGCAAACAGAGGUGGAAGUCUGUAAGAGUGCACCAUUGACUGAUCCUGAAGUCUUUGAAUGGAUUUAAGUAAGAGUGUAGCUGUUGGGACCCAAAAGAUGAUGAACUAUGCCUGAAUAGAGUGAAGCCAGAGGAAACUCUGGUGAAGGCUUACAGUGGUUCUGAUGUGCAAAUUGAUUAUCAAAUUUGAGUAUAGAGGCAAAAGACUAAUUGAACCAUCUGGUAGCUGGUUCCUGCCAAAGUUUCUCUCAGGAUAGCAGUAACAUUUUCAGUUUUAUGAGGUAAAGUGAAUAAUUAGAGAUCUUGAGAUUAAAAUAACCUUAACCUAUUCUCAAACUUUAAAUAUAUAAGAAGCCCUUGUUACUUAAGUAAAUGUGGGCAUUAGAAUGGAUUGUUACUAGUGGGCUAUUUUUAGUAAGCAGAACUGGCAAUGCAGAAUGAACCAAACAUGAGAUUAAGAUACUGGAAUGCAUGCUCAUCAGACACCACAAAAGGUGUUAGUUCAUCUAGACAGUCUGAUGAUAGCCAUGAAAGUUGGAAUCCACUAAGAAGUGUGUAACAACUCACAGGCUGAAUGAACUAGCCCUGAAAAUAGAUGAUGCUCAAGUGUGCUACUUAUAUCUUACUGUUGAGGUAGAAAUGAAGCCCUGAUGAGUAGACAGAUGUGGAGAUUUAUAAUGAAGUCUUGAGAGUGAUUCUGGGUUGAACAGCCUCUAGUACAGAUCUUGGUGAUAGUAGCAAAUACUCAAAUGAGAACUUUGAGAACUGAAAUGGGGAAAGAUUUCAUGUGAACAGCAGUUGGACAUGGGUUAGUUGAUUCUAAAAUAUAGAGUAGUUCUGUUUGAAAGUGUGCUCUAGUGUGCUGUUUAUUGAAAGGGAAGCUGGUUAAUAUUCCAGUACCUGGAUGUGAAUUCUCCAUGAUAAUAUAACUGAAUGUGGAGAUGUUAGCAGAAGUUCUGGAAAGAGUUCUCUUUUCUUCUUGACAGUCUAUCAUCCUGAAAUUGGUUUGUCUGGAGCUAGAGUUUCAUGGCUGGCAGAGCCCUGCACCUUUGUGGAGUCUGGUGUGCUUCUGAUGACCCUUGAAAAUCUGCAGGAAGGAAUAGUUUUCACACCAGGGUUGUACUUAUAACUACAGCAGGUCUCCAAGAUGAAAAGUCUCUAGUUGAUAGAACAAUGUAGAUAAGAGAAGUUGGCAAAAUAGAUCUGUAACUUUGAGAAAAGAAUUAGCUCUAAGAGUUGGGUGUAUUGGAUCUUGGGGGAAAGCCUCCAGAGCAGAAGAGCACUAGCCAGGCAACUGGCAGGCACCUUCCAGCAUCGGGAUGUGGAUGCCCUUGGCAGGCUUCGGCUGUCUGGUGUGUGAUUAAUGACUAACUUAGAACUGGUAUGGACAAGAGGAAUCUGACUGUCUAAUUAAAACAUAGCAUUGUAAUGGCCAGAAAGUAGUAUUGAUGCAAUGUGAUUUCUGCUCAGUGCUCUGAAUGUCAAAGUAAAGAAAUUCAACCAAGUAUGAGUAAAUAGUGGAAGUAACUAUGACUCUCUUAAGGUAGCCAAAUGCCUUGUCAUCUAAUUAGUGAUGUGCAUGAAUGGAUUAACAAGAUUCCCACUGUCUCUAUCUACUAUCUAGUGAAACCACAGUCAAGAGAACAGGCUUGGCAAAAUCAGUAGAGAAAGAAGACCCUGUUGAGCUUGACUCUAGUUUGACAUUGUGAAAAGACAUAUUGGGUGUAGAAUAGAUGGGAGCUUCAGUGCCAGUGAAAUACUACUACUUUUAUUGUUUUUUUACUUAUUCAAUAAAGCAGAACUGAGCUUUACUGCCCAACUUCUAGUGUUAAGGGUUCUUUACGGGCUGAUCCGGGUUGAAGACAUUGUCAGGUGGGGAGUUUGGCUGGGGCGGCACAUCUGUUAAACCAUAACGCAGGUGUCCUAAGGGGGACUUAU